CUGCUGCCUUCCGUAGGAGUUUGGGCCGUGUCUCAGUCCCAAUGUGGCCGUCCACCCUCUCAGGCCGGCUACUGAUCGUUGGUUUGGUGGGCCUCUACCCCGCCAACUGCCUAAUCAGACGCGGGCCCAUCCUACACCACCGGAGUUUUCAAAAGUGCAUCAUGCGAUGCUCUCUUUUAUGCGGUAUUAGCAGCCGUUUCCGGCUGGUAUCCCCCAGUGUAGGACAGGUUGCCCACGCGUUACUCACCCGUCCGCCA
rnacentral:rRNA from 1 species